rnacentral:rRNA from 1 species
UUUGAAAAUUAUAAAAGGUAACGCCUGCCCAGUGACAUUGUUUAACGGCCGCGGUAUUCUGACCGUGCGAAGGUAGCGUAAUCACUUGUCUUUUAAAUAAAGACUUGUAUGAAUGGCAUCACGAAGACUUAACUGUCUCCUUAGUCCUAUCAGUGAAACUGAUCUUUCCGUACAAAAGCGGAAAUAAAACCAUAAGACGAGAAGACCCUAUGGAGCUUAAAACUAAAAUCUAGCUAUAUCAUCUGUUAAAAUUUAUUAAUACUAUAUCUUUAUAGACUUAGCCAAAGUUUUCAGUUGGGGUGACUGUGGAGAAAAACUAAUCCUCCAUGUAGAUUUAAGCCUUGAGCUACCACUCUCAGCAUUAACAAGUUUAACUUUAC